UACGUAGGGCGCAAGCGUUAUCCGGAAUUAUUGGGCGUAAAGAGCUCGUAGGCGGCUUGUCGCGUCUGCCGUGAAAGUCCGGGGCUCAACUCCGGACCUGCGGUGGGUACGGGCAGACUAGAGUGAUGUAGGGGAGACUGGAAUUCCUGGUGUAGCGGUGAAAUGCGCAGAUAUCAGGAGGAACACCGAUGGCGAAGGCAGGUCUCUGGGCAUUAACUGACGCUGAGGAGCGAAAGCAUGGGGAGCGAACAGG
rnacentral:rRNA from 1 species